rnacentral:lncRNA from 1 species
UAAAUGCAAAAGUUAUAUUUCAUAUGUGUCAAUACAAACAACACUAAUAGAGAAUUCUAAGGAAGAUCGUGAAGAGAAAGGAUGGGCAGGCAUUACUAAAUUGGUUGGUUUCCUCUUCUGAUCACUGAAAAAGGUAGCGAGAAGUUGAUUUUCACACUUUCAAAGGUUCAAGUGACUUAUCUGAAGCAAAAGAGUUGAUUUGACAAGUAAUAUUUGCCACACACACACACAAAAAAAACUCUUUAUAUGGUAACAAUUGUAAAGUUUGGUUUAUUCCCCACCCCAUGAACAUUCUCUUUUGUUAGAAGUUUUAAUCUAAAAUCAGCCAAAUUUUUUUCUGUUAAUGUCAACAAAUGCUUCAGCACAUCGUUCGAAUGAAUUCAUUUCCUGUUAUGUUUCACAGGCGGAUCAAGGAUGGACUGAGAUGGUCUCGUAUUGACAUUCCACAUUUGGCGUUCCUGCUCUGUGCUUAAAAAGAGUGAAGUUCUAUAUUUCCACUCCACAUCCAUGAAAACAGUAAACUCUAGCUAUCAUUCAAUAGAAGAGCUGUGUUGAAUAUGACCUUCCUAAUCAGCUGAUGGAAUUCCUAUCAUAAUGCCUUGAAUCUAUUUUUAAAAAUAAAAUCAGUUGAUAAGGACAAUGUUCUGCUUCACUGUGUACUUGGAAGCUAACAUGAAACAGGGGCAAAUCUAGAGAAAAGUCCCACUCCACAAUUCCUCAAUUCUUCACACACUUGUAAAGGCAUUAUCUCAAUCACAGCUGUCCUCUGAGGUCUAUGCCCAAGAGACCCCAGAAAUCUUCCAGGGAAGAGAAGAAAUGCAGGCCUACCCUCUUCUUGCCCAUUCAACAGUGGACAUCAAUUGAAUGUUCUCAGACCUCUUCCUCAUCUUCUGAACACCCAAACACAGUCCUUAAAUUGGUAAGGGUAAGACAUAUGCAUAUCUGC